CCUACGGGGGGCAGCAGUGAGGAAUAUUGGUCAAUAGACGCAAGUCUGAACCAGCCAUGCCGCGUGCAGGAAGACGGCUCUAUGAGUUGUAAACUGCUUUUGUACGAGGGUAAACGCAGAUACGCGUAUCUGUCUGAAAGUAUCGUACGAAUAAGGAUCGGCUAACUCCGUGCCAGCAGCCGCGGUAAUACGGAGGAUUCAAGCGUUAUCCGGAUUUAUUGGGUUUAAAGGGUGCGUAGGCGGUCGGAUAAGUUAGAGGUGAAAUCCCGGUGCUCAACACCGGAACUGCCUCUAAUACUGUUGAACUAGAGAGUAGUUGCGGUAGGCGGAAUGUAUGGUGUAGCGGUGAAAUGCUUAGAGAUCAUACAGAACACCGAUUGCGAAGGCAGCUUACCAAACUAUAUCUGACGUUGAGGCACGAAAGCGUGGGUAGCAAACAGGAUUAGAUACCCCAGUAGUC
rnacentral:rRNA from 1 species